rnacentral:lncRNA from 1 species
GAGACAUUCAAGACACAGUGGACCCCAUAUAGUAGUAUUGGAGAGAAUUCAAGCCACGAUGGAUUAUGUAAACUGGUUACUUUGAGAAACUAUGACACAGCAUCACCUUUCGAUCUCAGUCAAGCCUCAGACUCACAGCAACCCACCUGCUUCACCAUCCUCCGUGCUGGGACUAUAGGUGUGAGCUACCAGACCCUAAUCAACACUGCCUUAAAUGAACUGGCAAGCGCCACUCUUCUUGCACACUGUUAAGUGAAUAGGUGACUUGAACGGAACAGUGACAAGUGGGACACUUAGUGUGACAACCAAGACAGGUCCUCAGUGACUAAAGAGCAGCUGAUAUAGACACACUGGACAAGGGGAAGCUCAGAUCCUGGGUGGAAAGAGUCAUGGCAUAUGAUGUCAUUCGACGUCACCAUGCAACUUUAGAACGGCAGCCGUUUACAGCUCACUUACCCUGGCCACCAAGUGAAGAUGCAGCCAUCUUGAAAGAGAGAG